rnacentral:rRNA from 1 species
CUACGGGUCGCAGCAGUGAGGAAUAUUGGGCAAUGGAGGCAACUCUGACCCAGCCAUGUCGCGUGCAGGAUGACUGCCCUAUGGGUUGUAAACUGCUUUUAUAUAGGAAUAACUAUGCGAUUCGUUCGCAAACUGCAUGUACUAUAUGAAUAAGGAUCGGCUAACUCCGUGCCAGCAGCCGCGGUAAUACGGAGGAUUCGAGCGUUAUCCGGAUUUAUUGGGUUUAAAGGGUGCGUAGGCGGAAAGAUAAGUCAGAGGUGAAAUUCUGCAGCUCAACUGUAGAACUGCCUUUGAAACUGUUUUUCUUGAAUAUGGACGAGGUAGGCGGAAUGAGUUAUGUAGCGGUGACAUGCAUAGAUAUAACUCAGAACACCGAUUGCGUAGGCAGCUUACCAGACCAUUAUUGACGCUGAUGCACGAAAGCGUGGGUAGCGAACAGGAUUAGAUACCCCCGUAGUC